UUAUUCGGACUUGAGAGUCAUCCUAAUACCCAUCGAGAUUUGAAGUCCAGCCCAAGCCUACUGAGAAUUAUCUGGAUGUAUUAAAAUUGAAGUCUCAACCUAAAUAUUUGAAAUGAAUGGAAAUAUUUUAUGACUUUCUUUUAUUUAUUUUUUUCAAUAGUGUUUACAGUUUCAACAAGCAGUUGCUUCUUCAGAAAGUACCUUAUUUAUUUUAGGGAAAUUAUCAUUCAUAUACCCGAUAUUUGCUCUGUUAUCAAAAAUACUACAACACUUUGAGGGUGUAUCAAUCGUCCACCCUUAAUUGACAAAAUGUAUCAACCGACCACCAAACCGUUAGUUUCCGUUUGAAAGUUAACGGAGUUACAGUGAAUUGACGAUUUUACCAUUGAAAAUUAUCACUUGUAUACCCUUAAAUUCUCUUUUUAUCACUUGUAUACCCUUAAAUUAUCACUUGUAUCAUAUGAAAAGACCAAAUUACCCUUAUGACGUCAUCAUACUUAAACGGCAACUAACGGUUUAGUGGUCAGCUGAUACAUUUUGUCAACUUAGGGUGGACGAUUGAUACAUCUUCAAAGUAUUGUAGUAUUUUUGAUAAUGGAGUAAACUAAGGGUAUACAAAUGAUAAUUUCCCUUUAUUUUAUCAGUAAUAUCAUUUCUAUCUAUUUAGUCAAAUAUUAAUUGUUAAAAAAAUACUCUUGUUGAUUUUAUUUAGUAACGUACGCAACACUAUUAUUAUUAUUAUUUUGAGAAUCUUAUCUGUUUGCUGAUGUCUGAUGUUGAAAGCUUAAAAAGAUAAUUUAAUUUUCUUGGUUUCAGUUCUUUGUUGUGUCUAUGGAAGCUUCCCUAGAUUGCAACUUCACCUUCAAAAUGCUCACAAAAUUUGUUCUUAAAUUCAAUUGAAUUCACUUGAAUCUUGUAAAAAUAAAAUUAUUAAUUACUUUCACCUGCUAUCCUCGUCAUCACAUUAAUAUAUAGACGCUAUAUAGAUGAAGAAAUUGAAGUGUUUAUUUUUUCUUUUGCGUUUUUUAAUAUCACAUCACAAUAUUACUAAUAUCAAAAUUUAAAAUUUCAACAUUCUACGACAAGAAAAAUAUAUUCCUUUCUUUACUAUAUUUGUGAGUUGUCAUUGUUAAUUUAAUUAAGAAUGUAACUACAUGGAUGUUGAUGAUUUAUUAAUUAAUUUCUAGAUAUAGAAAAUGUUGUUGUCUAUACCUUUCUUUCUAGCCAUCUCUAUCUUAUCUAUCUCAUCAAAUCUUAUUCGAAGAAAAGAAUACAUGUAUUUACCACACUUAUGAUUUUGCUAAAUUAGCCUCAUCAAAUUAAAAGUCAAUAUUAGUAGGUCAUUAAUAUAUGUUUACUAC
rnacentral:lncRNA from 1 species